rnacentral:tRNA from 1 species
ACCUGGCUGGCUCAGUCAGUAGAGCAUGUGACUCUUGAUCUCAGGGUUGUGAGUUUGGAUCCCAUGUUGGAUG